rnacentral:rRNA from 1 species
UACAGAGAGUGCGAGCGUUAAUCGGAAUUACUGGGCGUAAAGCGCACGUAGGUGGAUGUUUAAGUCGGAUGUGAAAGCCCUGGGCUUAACCUAGGAAUUGCAUUCGAUACUGGGCGUCUUGAAUAUAGUAGAGGGAGGUGGAAUUUCUGGUGUAGCGGUGAAAUGCGUAGAUAUCAGAAGGAACAUCAGUGGCGAAAGCGGCCUCCUGGACUAAUAUUGACACUUAGGUGCGAAAGCGUGGGGAGCAAACAGG